ensembl:lncRNA
AGAAGAUCCAGGGAGACUUUCCAGAAGGUUCCUUGAAGUUCAAAUCCUGUGAUGUCUUGAUGAAGAUGGGCAACUGACCAGAGGCCUUGACAGUGUCCGCUGAUGUGGCGUAAGAAGGUGAUCUGGACCAUGCUGACGUCCCCCUUCCUCCUCCUAGGCAUUCGAAGUAAGGAACGUCCAGAGCAUCUGUUCCGUCCAUGAUGGGAAGAGGAGCAGCGCUCUGGGAAACCCAGCCCUGUGUUUUAGAUCAGCUCCUCCUCUGCAUCAACAUUGAAUCUGCACCUCACAACUGGUAUCAAGGCCUGGUUUCCAGAAGUUUCUCAUCUUGAGAUCCCUCUAUCACUUCAACUUUUCUUGCCUGAGAGCCUGACUACAAAUAAAUCUUUUUCCUGUUAAGUUU